rnacentral:tRNA from 1 species
AUCCCGGUGGUGGCGCUGGUCUACGCGCUGCCGGUGCUGAACCCGCCGAUCAUCUCCACCGAACCCGGGUUCGACUUCCAGAUCGCGAUG